UGACGGUACCCCAGGAGGAAGCCCCAGCCAACUCCGUGCCAGCAGCCGCGGUAAUACGUAGGGGGCAAGCGUUGUCUCGGAAUUACUGGGUGUAAAGGGUGUGCAGGCCUCUCCCUAAAGUUGAGAGUGAAAACCCGUAGCUCAACUUCGGAACGGCAGUCAAUACUGGGGGGACUGGAGGUUCAUGGGAGGGAAGUGGAAUUUUCGGGGUAGCGGUGAAAUGUGUAGAUAUUGAGAGGAACCCCCGUGGGGAAGGCGGCUUUCUAUCAUAGACCCGACGCUCGAUACACGAAAACUAGGGGAGCCAAACAGGAUUAGAUACCCGGGUUAGUUUCAGCCGUAAUCCAUGAAUAAUAGGUGGAGGAGGAUCGAAUCGUUCAGUAUCGUAGUUAACGCGUUAAGUAAUCCACCAGGAAAGCACGGUCGCAAGGAUGAAACUCAAAGGAAUAGUCGGAGGACCGCACAAGCAGCGAGGCAGCUGGUGUAAUUUGAGGUUACAUGAAGAACCACUACGAAGGAGUUUGACAUGUAGGAGUACAGUCCCAAGAAACUGGGGGCCACAUCGGUAGCAAUACGAAUAGCAGUACACAGGCGGGGCAUGCUUGUCGUUAGUUAGUUCCGGGAGGGGUAAGGUUAAGUCAUUGAACGAGCGCAAUCCACCCCCUUAUUCACUCUUCGUCGCAAGGCCAAGCACUAUAACCAAACCGCUACGGUUGAGGUAGAGGAAGGCGGGGAUGACGUCAAAUCAUCACGCCCCUUAUGUCCAGGGCCACACACAUGCGACAAUGGUCGGAACAAAGAGUCGCAAACCAGUAAGGGCAAGCUAAUCUCCAACACCAGUCCCCGUAUGGAUUGAGGGUUGAAAAUCACCCUCCAGAAGAUGGAGAUGGUAGUUAAUGCAAGUCAACCAUACUGCGGUGAAUAAGUUCCCGGGCCUUGCACACACCGCCCGUCA
rnacentral:rRNA from 1 species